rnacentral:rRNA from 1 species
GCACCCGCACAAGCGGUGGAGCAUGCUGUUUAAUUCGAAGAUACGCGAAGAACCUUACCUGGGCUUGACAUCCCAAUGACCGGCUUAGAAAUAAGCCUUUCUCUUCGGAGACAGUGGUGACAGGUGGUGCAUGGUUGUCGUCAGCUCGUGUCGUGAGAUGUUCGGUUAAGUCCGACAACGAGCGCAACCCUUAUCCUUAAUUGCUAACAUUAAGUUGAGAACCUUAAGGAGACUGCCGGUGAUAAACCGGAGGAAGGUGGGGAUGACGUCAAAUCAUCAUGCCCCUUACGUCCAGGGCAACAGGCGUGCUACAAUGGCCAAUAUAAUGAGUCGCAAUACCGUGAGGUGGAGCUAAUCUCCAAAGUUGGUCUCAGUCCGGAUUGGAGUCUGCAACUCGACUCCAUGAAGUCGGAAUCGCUAGUAAUCCCGAAUCAGAAUGUCGGGGUGAAUACGUUCCCGGGUGUU